AACAAACAAUUUUGAAAAAUAAAAACGCAUUUCCUCUCUUCAGGCGGGCUCCUGACUUCAACAACUACUUUGAAAAAAUAAACGUCUUUCCUCUCUUUAGGCGGGCUCCUGACUUCAACAACUUUUAAAAAUAAAACGCCAUUCCUCUCUUCAGGCGGGCUCCUGAAUUCAAACAAACAACUUUUAAAAUAAACGUCAUUCCUCUCUUCAGGCGGGCUCCUGACUUCAACAACAACUUUAAAAAUAAAAUGCCAUUCCUUUCUUUAGGUUGGCGAGAUUUCAACAACUUUUAAAAUAAAACGCCUUUGCUCUCUUCAGGCGGGCUCCUUAUUUCAACAACAACUUUGAAAAUAAACGUCAUUCCUCUCUUCAGGUGGGCUCCUGAUUUCAACAACAACUUUAAAAUAAAAAUGCCAUUAUUUCUUUAGGUUAGGCGAGAUUUCAACAACUUUUUUUUUUUAAAAAUAAAACGCAUUUCCUCUCUUCAGCCGGGCUCCUGACUUCAACAACAGCUUUAAGAAUAAACGCCAUUCCUUUCUUUAGGUUGGCGAGAUUUCAACAACUUUGAAAAUAAAACGUCUUUCUUCUCUUCAGACGGGCUCCUGACUUUAACAACAACUUAAAAAAUAAAACGCCUUUCCUCUCUUCAGGCGGGCUCCUGACCUCAACAACAAUUUUAAAAAUAAAUGCCAUUCCUCUCUUCAGGCGGGCUCCUGACUUCAACAACUUUGAAAAUAAAAUGUCAUUCCUUUCUUUAGGUUGACGAGAUUUCAACAACUUUUAAAAAUAAAAUGCCAUUCCUCUCUUCAGGCGGGCUCCUGAUUUCAACAACUUU
rnacentral:lncRNA from 1 species